rnacentral:rRNA from 1 species
UACGUAGGUGGCAAGCGUUGUCCGGAUUUACUGGGUGUAAAGGGCGUGUAGGCGGGAUUGCAAGUCAGAUGUGAAAUUCCGGGGCUCAACCCCGGAACUGCAUUUGAAACUGUAGUUCUUGAGUACUGGAGAGGCAGGCGGAAUUCCUAGUGUAGCGGUGAAAUGCGUAGAUAUUAGGAGGAACACCAGUGGCGAAGGCGGCCUGCUGGACAGCAACUGACGCUGAGGCGCGAAAGCGUGGGGAGCAAACAGG